AGCAGUCGCCGCGGGAAAACGAAGGGUGCAAGCGUUACUCGGAAUUACUGGGCGUAAAGCGUGCGUAGGUGGUGGUUUAAGUCCGUUGUGAAAGCCCUGGGCUCAACCUGGGAAUUGCAGUGGAUACUGGGUCACUAGAGUGUGGUAGAGGAUAGUGGAAUUUCCGGUGUAGCAGUGAAAUGCGUAGAGAUCGGAAGGAACAUCUGUGGCGAAGGCGACUAUCUGGGCCAACACUGACACUGAGGCACGAAAGCGUGGGGAGCAAACAGGAUUAGAUACCCCCGUAGUCCCUGUCUCUUAUAC
rnacentral:rRNA from 1 species